rnacentral:rRNA from 1 species
CCUACGGGAGUCAGCAGUAGGGAAUUUUGCGCAAUGGGGGAAACCCUGACGCAGCAAAGCCGCGGGAUUGCUGAAGCCCUUCGAAGUGUAAAGAUCUGUCAGUGGGGACGCAACUUGACGGUACCUACAGCGGAAGCAUCGGCUAACUCCGUGCCAGCAGCCGCGGUAAUACGGGGGAUGCAAGCGUUGUCCGGAAUCAUUGGGCGUAAAGAGUUCGUAGGUGGCACGUUAAGUCUGGUGGUAAAUGCAGAGGCUCAACCGCUGUUCGGCACUGGAUACUGGCGAGCUUGAAGGCGGUAGAGGUAAAGGGAAUUCCUGGUGUAGCGGUGAAAUGCGUAGAUAUCAGGAGGAACAUCGGUGGCGUAAGCGCUUUACUGGGCCGUAAUUGACACUGAGGAACGAAAGCCAGGGUAGCAAAUGGGAUUAGAUACCACUGUAGUC